UUACAGGUGUUGCAUGGCUGUCGUCAGCUCGUGUCGUGAGUAUGUUCGGUUAAGUCCGCUAACGAGCGCAACCCUCGUCGUAUGUUAUAUGUGUCAUACGGAGACUGCCGGUAAAAAGCCGGAGGAAGGUGAGGAUGAUGUCAAGUCAGCAUGACCUUUAUAUCCAGGGCUACACACACGCUACAAUGGUCUGUACAAUGGGUAGCCAAGCCGCGAGGCGGAGCCAAUCCUGAAAGCAGGCCUCAGUUCAGAUUGCAGUCUGCAACUCGACUGCAUGAAGCCGGAGUUGCUAGUAACCGCAGGUCAGCAAUACUGCGGUGAAUACGUUCCCGGGUCUU
rnacentral:rRNA from 1 species